GUUCGAGAGUAGCAGUCCGACCGAGAAGACCGACCGAGGUAACGCCUACGUAAGAAAAGAGAGCCUUCACGAGGGCGCGAAGAUAGUCAGGAAUGGCCGACUGUAAUCUACGGAAAAGUACCGGGCCCAAAAUGAGACCACAUGGUGCUAAACGCAACCCUUAGCUGGGUCGUGAUAAGAAUACUAAUGAGCCUUCGAACUAUGAUGGGAAUCUACCCAUAUCUGUUAUCCAACUGUUUGGACAAACUUUAGAUCUGGUAGAAUGUAUUUUAAAAAGGAAAAGCCCGGUAGUCUGGAAUAUAUAUUUGUUGUGAG